UCCCCCGUGAGGGGGCAGUCUCGCCUGACAUAAGUAACAGACAACGAGGGUUGCGUUCGUUACCCCACUGAAGGGAACAGCUCAAGCCACGAACUGACGACGACCAUGCAUCACCUGUCCAACACCCUCGAAGGCUCCCGACGUUUCUGCCGGGAUGCAGUUGGAUUUCUAGCCUUGGUAAGGUUCUUCGCUUGUCGACGAAUUAAGCCACAUGAUCCACCCCUUGUGCGAGUCCCCGUCUAUUCCUUUGAGUUUUAAGCUUGCGCUCGUACUACCCAGGCGGCUCGCUUACCGCGUUAGCUUAGUCCCGCAGAGGGUCGAUACUCCGCAGAACGAGCGAGCAGCGUUUAGGGCUAGGACUAC
rnacentral:misc_RNA from 1 species